GGGUUGUGAGGUUAAGCGACUAAGCGUACACGGUGGAUGCCCUGGCAGUCAGAGGCGAUGAAGGACGUGCUAAUCUGCGAAAAGCGCCGGCGAGGUGAUAUGAACCUUUGACCCGGCGAUGUCCGAAUGGGGAAACCCAGUGCAAUCCGUUGCACUAUCGUUAACUGAAUACAUAGGUUAACGAGGCGAACCGGGGGAACUGAAACAUCUAAGUACCCCGAGGAAAAGAAAUCAACCGAGAUUCCCCCAGUAGCGGCGAGCGAACGGGGAGCAGCCCGGAGUCUGAAUCAGCUUGUGUGUUAGUGGAACGGUCUGGAAAGUCCGACGGUACAGGGUGAUAGUCCCGUACACGAAAGCACACUUGCUGUGAACUCGAAGAGUAGGGCGGGACACGUGGUAUCCUGUCUGAAUAUGGGGGGACCAUCCUCCAAGGCUAAAUACUCCUGACUGACCGAUAGUGAACCAGUACCGUGAGGGAAAGGCGAAAAGAACCCCGGCGAGGGGAGUGAAAAAGAACCUGAAACCGUGUACGUACAAGCAGUGGGAGCCUCUUUAUGGGGUGACUGCGUACCUUUUGUAUAAUGGGUCAGCGACUUAUAUUCUGUAGCAAGGUUAACCGUAUAGGGGAGCCGAAGGGAAACCGAGUCUUAACUGGGCGUUAAGUUGCAGGGUAUAGACCCGAAACCCGGUGAUCUAGCCAUGGGCAGGUUGAAGGUUGGGUAACACUAACUGGAGGACCGAACCGACUAAUGUUGAAAAAUUAGCGGAUGACCUGUGGCUGGGGGUGAAAGGCCAAUCAAACCGGGAGAUAGCUGGUUCUCCCCGAAAGCUAUUUAGGUAGCGCCUCGUGAACUCAUCUUCGGGGGUAGAGCACUGUUUCGGCUAGGGGGCCAUCCCGGCUUACCAACCCGAUGCAAACUACGAAUACCGAAGAAUGUUAUCACGGGAGACACACGGCGGGUGCUAACGUCCGUCGUGAAGAGGGAAACAACCCAGACCGCCAGCUAAGGUCCCAAAGUCAUGGUUAAGUGGGAAACGAUGUGGGAAGGCACAGACAGCCAGGAUGUUGGCUUAGAAGCAGCCAUCAUUUAAAGAAAGCGUAAUAGCUCACUGGUCGAGUCGGCCUGCGCGGAAGAUGUAACGGGGCUAAACCAUGCACCGAAGCUGCGGCAGCGACGCUUAGGCGUUGUUGGGUAGGGGAGCGUUCUGUAAGCCGUUGAAGGUGUCCUGUGAGGGGUGCUGGAGGUAUCAGAAGUGCGAAUGCUGACAUAAGUAACGAUAAAGCGGGUGAAAAGCCCGCUCGCCGGAAGACCAAGGGUUCCUGUCCAACGUUAAUCGGGGCAGGGUGAGUCGACCCCUAAGGCGAGGCCGAAAGGCGUAGUCGAUGGGAAACAGGUUAAUAUUCCUGUACUUGGUGUUACUGCGAAGGGGGGACGGAGAAGGCUAUGUCAGCCGGGCGACGGUUGUCCCGGUUUAAGCAUGUAGGCGGAGGUUCCAGGUAAAUCCGGUACCUUAUUAACGCUGAGGUGUGAUGACGAGGCACUACGGUGCUGAAGUGAUAAAUGCCCUGCUUCCAGGAAAAGCCUCUAAGCAUCAGGUAACACGAAAUCGUACCCCAAACCGACACAGGUGGUCAGGUAGAGAAUACCAAGGCGCUUGAGAGAACUCGGGUGAAGGAACUAGGCAAAAUGGUGCCGUAACUUCGGGAGAAGGCACGCUGAUAUGUAGGUGAAGCCCCUGCGGGCGGAGCUGAAAUCAGUCGAAGAUACCAGCUGGCUGCAACUGUUUAUUAAAAACACAGCACUGUGCAAACACGAAAGUGGACGUAUACGGUGUGACGCCUGCCCGGUGCCGGAAGGUUAAUUGAUGGGGUUAGCGGCAACGCGAAGCUCUUGAUCGAAGCCCCGGUAAACGGCGGCCGUAACUAUAACGGUCCUAAGGUAGCGAAAUUCCUUGUCGGGUAAGUUCCGACCUGCACGAAUGGCGUAAUGAUGGCCAGGCUGUCUCCACCCGAGACUCAGUGAAAUUGAACUCGCUGUGAAGAUGCAGUGUACCCGCGGCAAGACGGAAAGACCCCGUGAACCUUUACUAUAGCUUGACACUGAACACUGGUCCUUGAUGUGUAGGAUAGGUGGGAGGCUUUGAAGCGUGGACGCCAGUCUGCGUGGAGCCAACCUUGAAAUACCACCCUUUAAUGGCUGGUGUUCUAACGUAGACCCGUAAUCCGGGUUGCGGACAGUGUCUGGUGGGUAGUUUGACUGGGGCGGUCUCCUCCCAAAGAGUAACGGAGGAGCACGAAGGUUGGCUAAUCCUGGUCGGACAUCAGGAGGUUAGUGCAAUGGCAUAAGCCAGCUUGACUGCGAGCGUGACGGCGCGAGCAGGUGCGAAAGCAGGUCAUAGUGAUCCGGUGGUUCUGAAUGGAAGGGCCAUCGCUCAACGGAUAAAAGGUACUCCGGGGAUAACAGGCUGAUACCGCCCAAGAGUUCAUAUCGACGGCGGUGUUUGGCACCUCGAUGUCGGCUCAUCACAUCCUGGGGCUGAAGUAGGUCCCAAGGGUAUGGCUGUUCGCCAUUUAAAGUGGUACGCGAGCUGGGUUUAGAACGUCGUGAGACAGUUCGGUCCCUAUCUGCCGUGGGCGCUGGAGAAUUGAGGGGGGCUGCUCCUAGUACGAGAGGACCGGAGUGGACGCAUCACUGGUGUUCGGGUUGUCAUGCCAAUGGCACUGCCCGGUAGCUAAAUGCGGAAGAGAUAAGUGCUGAAAGCAUCUAAGCACGAAACUUGCCCCGAGAUGAGUUCUCCCUGAGACCUUGAGUCUCCUGAAGGAACGUUGAAGACGACGACGUUGAUAGGUCGGGUGUGUAAGCGCAGCGAUGCGUUGAGCUAACCGAUACUAAUGAACCGUGAGGCUUAACCUUACAACGCCGAAGCUGUU
rnacentral:rRNA from 2 species